GCCGCCAUGACUCCGCCGCCCGCGCCUACGAGGGACGCCACCGCGACUCCGCCGAGGCCGCCGCCCGCGCCUACGACGCCGCCACGACUUCGCCGGCGUCGCCCCUUCGCCGGCGGUGCCCCCUGCCGGCUUUUCCCUCCUCGUGGCCUGCCAUCGGUGAUGUAGUUGGGAGGAAAGUGGAGGAGGAAGGAGUGAGAGACUGACAUACGGGUCCCAGUGUCAUACACUUAAAAUAGAGAGGGUGGAUGGAGACGCUGUUGGAGUGAGCAACAGGUUUAACUUGCUAAAUCAAUUGAAGAGUUGGCUAUAUAGGUAUUUGAAGAGUGUGAUUUGGGUAGACUGUUGGAGAUGCUCAGAACGCGAAGAAACCGAGGGUAGCAGAGAUUAUUUUGUUGGGCCGUAACGGUUUGGCCCGCGAACGCGAAUUCAAUCCUUAUCGCUUAAGUUGAUCCAACGGUUAGAAAUAAGCGGACCCACUUGUCAGUAGGAAGUUCAGAUAGACGAGGUGGACCCACCCAUCUCCUUCCAGAAUCCGAGAGGUCCCCACUUCGCCGUGAUCCUCUCCAAUCCACCGGCGACUCCGACGAGCUGGUAGCAUUAGCGCCUCGACUUUGAGCCGCCGUCGGCCUCCGCUCCGGUGGGUCACGGGGCCGCAUGGAUGGAGUAAUCGAGCCCAGAGAAGCGGGUCGUCGGCGUCAUCCCCCGCCAUUCCACGACGCGGCGAUCUCAUCGGCCGCCGCCUGCAUCGAGGGAAAGUGGGAAACCCCUCAACGGGCACCCUGGAUGGCUGCUGCGGCGGCGUAGGGCGCGGCCGCCAUCGACGCAUGCAUCCGGUCGGAGAGGAACCUGGCUGGCGUCCCCGCCCCGCCGCCCGCCGCCGCCGCAGCACCCGCCUCCAGCGACACACACACCGCCGCGGGGCGCUCCGCUCGUCUCACCCACCCGGCGCAGAGCGGCGCCGCGAGGGGCGAGAGCGAGCGCGCGCUACCCGCGUGCACGCGGCGGCGGUCGCAGGCCGCAGAACCUCGCGGCGUCCGCCCGCGUCAUUCUCCGGUUCUCCCCUACGGUCGGCAAGCUCGACGCGGGUUUCCAUGGAGCCCGCCCAGGUGCUCGCGAAUCGCCAUGGUCUCCAUGGAGCUUGGCGCUGGAGACUCAGAUAUUCAACCGCGAAUUCAGGAAUCCUAAUUCCGAUUUCUCCCUAAAUUGGGAGGCCCAUUGCUGAGAAAUAAUCUCGCUCGGCGGCGCCUAUGUGGUCUCUCUCCCUCGUUUUCCUUCACAAGAUACAGAUUCCGAGAGCAAAUAAGUAGGAGACUAAAACGGAAGUCGACGCCGGUUUCCUCGAUUCGUGGACGGACGAGCAAUCGUGGGUUCGUGGUCAUGGGAUUGGGGUAUGUGCUGCUGAAGCGCUUGCAGCGAGAGCGUCGUCGUCGUCGUCGUAGUCGACAUGCCCUAGUUCCCGGUAAGUCGCCUUUUCCUGUCUCAGCUUGUCUGCUCUGCUAUUCAUGUGAGGAUGCAAUGAGUUCUGCCAUUCAUGUGACAAUGCAAAUUAUUCAUGCCGGCCUCAUUGUUAUGCUUAUGCUUAUAAGCCAAAAAUUGAAUUUAGGACUUAAUUUUAAUGUUGAUUUUUUUUUCAUCUUAGUUUAUUUGACAACAUUUGCUUUUGAGUUGCUAAGGACACGAAUAUAAAAGUUUUAUUCACAAAUGAUUUUUUAUUUGCUAAUAAGCGAUUCGGAUAAGCAUAUGAAUAAGCUAAACAAUGGGGUUUCUCAUCUAUUGCUUGCUCAGAGAAUGUACUUCAGCAUUGUGCAGCAAGACUCGGAUUUCGAUUUUGUAGUUUCCUCUCUCUUUUGCGAGUAGGUGAAACUGAUUCGUUUAGAUUGUUAGUUCAAUUGUUAGUUUCAAUCCGUAUGAUCUUUUUGCAAGUACCUCUUUAUGUUUGAGAUUCCUUUAGAUUGUUAGUUUCGACCAUAUGAUCUUUUUGCGAAUACAUUUUUAUGUUUGAGCAGGUAAGUUCUCCGGUUGAGCACAUGAGCUCCCGUUUACCCCCAGUCUGCAUCUGUUCAUAAAAGAGAUUGUAAUUAAGAAGACCAAAUAAUGAUGCUUAUCUACUAAAGGUUUUGAGAGUAGGAAUCAGCAUCCACUCAAACACUAGACCAAGCAUGUAUUGUUUGCAUCAUAAUGCUUAAUUUCUUGUUUCUCCUGUUGACGCAUGUACUAUAUUCUUAACCUUUAGUUGUUGCAGAUGAGUCUAUUGCCUCACCAGAGAAACGAAAGGGCUCAUGUUAUCAACAAGAUGACAGUCCUCGCAGUGGCAAAAAGAUGAGAUAUUCAGGUCCAUACCUUCCUGAGGAAAUGUGGCAGCAUAUACAUUCCCUUAUGCCAAUGAAAGACGCUGCCCGUGCUGCCUGCUUGUCUUCUGCCUUUCUAUACUCAUGGAGAAACCGUCCCAAACUCUCCUUUAGUACUGAAACGAUGGGUAUCGUUGAAGGUACAACGGAUUUCAUCAGAAAAAUUGAUCGCGUUAUGGAAAAACACUCAGGCAUUGGUGUGAAGGCUCUUACGAUUGAGUUCAAUGGUCUCUUCAGUACCAAAGCACGCAGUUACCUCGAAAGAUGGCUUCAAAUUGCUGUUACACCAAGGAUCGAAGAGCUCAGCCUCUCGAUGUCCAAGGGAAAAGCAUAUUAUGACUUUCCUUGCUCACUUCUAUCUGAUGGGAGUGGAAGCUCGAUUCGGCUUCUUGAUCUUUACUGCUGUACCUUUCACCCCACUGCGGAGAUUGGUUGCUUUCAAAGCUUGACGAGGCUGCAUCUGGAGUAUGUGAGAAUCACGGGGGAUGAAUUGGGCGGCUGACCUAUGUGGAAGUGCGUGGAUGCUCCAGGCUGCGAGUAAUAGAGAACAAAGCUCCAAACCUUCACAGUUUGCACAUUUUUUAUCAAGCUUAUCACCCUAUACAACUCUCCUUUGGAGAGUCAUCUCUGGUGAAGAACCUAAGUAUUGGGUAUUCCUCUGUUCUCAAUCAUGCUUGCGCGGAGCUACCAUAUAUUUUUCCAAACCUCGAAACUCUUACCAUACGCUCAUUGGGUGAGAUGGUCAGUACACCAAUGGUGCCUAACACAUUCCUCCAUCUCAAGUACUUGUGUAUUACUCUUUCUGCAGUAACUCUCUCUCCAUCAUAUGAUUAUUUGUCUCUGGUUUCCUUUCUCGAUGCCUGCCCUUCCUUGGACACUUUCAUCGUGGAUGUAUCCGCAAAACACCCAGAGAACGAUUCAAUUUUCGAGAACCCCUCACAUCUAAGGCAGUUGCCAGAGCAACGCCAUGACAACCUCCGGAAUGUGAAGAUCACUGGAUUCCGCUCCGUGAAGAGCUUGUUGGAGCUAACAUAUCAUAUCCUCGAGAAUACAUCAGUCGAAUGUCUUACAUUGGACACCAGUUUUGAGUCUUUCAGAUGUUCUCCCGGCAAACUUGGUAGAUGCUCGCGAAUGCCAAAGGAUGAUCUCAUGGAAGCCUCUAAAGCACUCUUCGCUAUCAGAACAUACAUCGAGGGAAAAGUUCCCUCCACGGUUAGACUAAAUGUGGUUGAGCCUUGCAGCCGUUGCCAUGUUAUGGAACCUUUUACUGUCGAAACUCGAAAGUAACAGCGGAAAUGAAAUGCAGUAACACAACACUCAUGUUUUUCUUUGCGUGCAUCAUGUAGUAACUGCGUUUCUCUGUGCACUGUACUACUGUAUGUGCAUGUUGGAGUGCUGAACUUGCCCCUUGUCACCAGGAUGCAGAAUAAUAGUUGCCUCGUUCAUCAUAAUCAUUCAUCGAAUGCUUUUGUGUAAAUCCAGGUGGCUUCUAUAUUGUCUCUUUAGAUUUAUACACACCGUUUUUAGCUGCGUACUUUCAAGAAUUAUGUUAUACUAGGAUAGAGUGACAGGCUGCUCUUUUUAUUGGAAACUCUGUCUAGUAUUUGCCUCUGUAAUAGUAUUACAUGGAAUGAGAUCAAAGUUGCAUAUA